UGCAGGCUGCAACUCGCCUGCAUGAAGUCGGAAUUGCUAGUAAUCGUAGGUCAGCAUACUACGGUGAAUACGUUCCCGGGCCUUGUACACACCGCCCGUCAAACCAUGAGAGUUGGCAACACCCGAAGUCGGUAGUCUAACCGCAAGGAGGACGCCGCCGAAGGUGGGGUUGAUGAUUAGGGUUAAGUCGUAACAAGGUAUC
rnacentral:rRNA from 1 species